AGGCACGUAGCUCAGUUGGUUAGAGCACCACCUUGACAUGGUGGGGGUCGUUGGUUCGAGUCCGAUCGUGCCUACCA
rnacentral:tRNA from 1 species